GGCUAGAUAGCUCAGUUGGUAGAGCCCCGGCAUGUUAAGCCGGGGGUCGCAGGUUCAAGUCCUGCUUUGGUUA